rnacentral:rRNA from 1 species
AUUGGUCAAUCGGACGAAAGUCUGAACCAGCCAAGUAGCGUGCAGGAUGACGGCCCUAUGGGUUGUAAACUGCUUUUAUACAGGGGAUAAAGUGCACGUACCGUGUAGUGUUUUGUAGGUACUGUAUGAAUAAGGACCGGCUAAUUCCGUG